AGGUUAUCCAGAUAUGAGACACUUCAUAAUAACUCUGAAUCAAUAUUAGUAAACAAUAAACAAGGCUGAAAACAAACAAUCAGUAGGACCAACAGCCUUCUUCAAGAGGAGGUUCAGGGCCAGUUUUAGGUCCAACAGCCUUCUUCAAGAGGAGGUUCAGGGCCAGUUUUAGGUCCAACAGUAGCCAGCAUCAAGAGGAGGUUCAUGGCCAGUUUUAGGACAAACAGCCUUCUUCAAGAGGAGGUUCAGGGCCAGUUUUAGGACCAGUAGGACCAACAGUAUCCUACUUCAGGAGGUGGUUCAGGGCCAGUUUUAGGACCAGUAGGACCAACAGUAUCCUGCUUCAGGAGGAGGUUCAGGGCCAGUUUUAGGACCAGUAGGUCCAACAGUAUCCUGCUUCAGGAGGAGGUUCAGGGCCAGUUUUAGGACCAGUAGGACCAACAGUAUCCUGCUUCAGGAGGUGGUUCAUUGCCAGUUUUAGGACCAAUAGUAUCCUGCUUCAGGAGGUGGUUCAGGGCCAGUUUUAGGACCAACAGUAUACUGCUUAAGGAGGUGGUUCAUUGCCAGUUUUAGGACCAUUAGUAUCCUGCUUCAGGUGGUUCAGGGCCAGUUUUAGGACCAGUAGGGCCAACGGGCCAGCUUCAGGAGGAGGUUCAGGGACAGUUUUAGGACCAGUAUGGCCAACGGCCUGCUUCAAGAGGAGCUUCAGGGCCAGUUUUAGGUCCAACAGUAGCCUGCUUCAGGAGGAGGUUCAGGGCCAGUUUUAGGACCAGUAGGACCAACAGUAUCCUGCUUCAGGAGGAGGUUCAGGGCCAGUUUUAGGGCCAACAGUAUCCUGCUUCAGGAGGUGGUUCAGGGCCAGUUUUAGGACCAAUAGUAUCCUGCUUCAGGAAGAGGUUCAGGGCCAGUUUUAGAACCAGUAGGACCAACAGUAUCCUGCUUCAGGAGGUGGUUCAUUGCCAGUUUUAGAACCAGUAGGACCAACAGUAUCCUGCUUCAGGAGGUGGUUCAGGGCCAGUUUUAGGACCAACAGUAUCCUGCUUCAGGAGGUGGUUCAGGGCCAGUUUUAGGACCAACAGUAUCCUGCUUCAGGAGGUGGUUCAGGACCAGUUUUAGGACCAACAGUGUCCUGCUUCAGGAGGUGGUUCAGGGCCAGUUUUAGGACCAACAGUAUCCUGCUUCAGGAGGUGGUUCAGGGCCAGUUUUAGGACCAGUAGGACCAACAGUAUCCUGCUUCAGGAGGAGGUUCAGGGCCAGUUUUAGGACCAGUAGGUCCAACAGUAUCCUGCUUCAGGAGAUGGUUCAGGGCACCUUCUCAGUAGUAGUGGAGUGGAUCAGUUUCUGGGGGGGGCGUCUUAACAUGGCUCCUCUGGCUCUGUGGAGCUUGGCUGGUUACGGGUAGACCCCCAGACUGGGGCUCUGGGUGGUGAUAGGGGGCUGGAGAGGGGCGGAGGUGGCUGGGGCAAGCCCAGACUGGGGCUCUGGGUGGUGAUAGGGGGCUGGAAAGGGGCGGAGGUGGCUGGGGCAAGCCCAGACUGGGGCUCUGGGUGGUGAUAGGGGGCUGGAGAGGGGCGGAGGUGGCAAGCCCAGACUGGGGCUCUGGGUGGUGAUAGGGGGGCGGAGGUGGCUGGGGCAAGCCCAGACUGGGGCUCUGGGUGGUGGUAGGGGGGCUGGAGAGGGGCAGAGGUGGCUGGGGCAAGCCCGGGCUGUUUUUUUUUUGGGGGCCUUUGGAAGAGACAGUCUGUUUCUGCCUAUCAGGUGGAACCCUGUUCCCUACAUAGUGCAGUACUUCUGACCAGAGACCCAUAGAGUUAGUUCCCACACAAAGCCAGUUGAUGAAGUGGACCAAGGAGAUGACAACAUUGACAUUGUUCUGUGAUGUCAGGUCCAGGUGUGAAGGACCCCACAGGGCUCUGGUCACAAGUAGUG
ensembl:lncRNA